GUGUCAGCAGCCGCGGUAAUACCGGCAGCUCGAGUGAUGACCGAUUUUAUUGGGCCUAAAGCGUCCGUAGCUGGCCGCGCAAGUCUGUCGGGAAAUCCACCCGCUUAACGGGUGGGCGUCCGGCGGAAACUGUGCGGCUUGGGACAGGAAGGCUCGAGGGGUACGUUCGGGGUAGGAGUGAAAUCCCGUAAUCCUGAACGGACCACCGAUGGCGAAAGCACCUCGGGCUGCCGGUAUUACCGCGGCUGCU
rnacentral:rRNA from 1 species